rnacentral:SRP_RNA from 1 species
AUUCCGGGCUGCUUGCAGCCACCCAACCCCGCCAGGACAGGAAUGUAGCAACGGUAAGUGGAUUGCAGGAGAGACCCGGGUGAUUUGUCUCCG